rnacentral:rRNA from 1 species
UACGAAGGGGGCUAGCGUUGUUCGGAAUCACUGGGCGUAAAGCGCACGCAGGCGGAUCGAUAAGUCGGGGGUGAAAGCCCGGGGCUCAACCUCGGAAUUGCCUUCGAUACUGUCGGUCUCGAGUCCGGGAGAGGUGAGUGGAACUCCUAGUGUAGAGGUGAAAUUCGUAGAUAUUAGGAAGAACACCAGUGGCGAAGGCGGCUCACUGGCCCGGUACUGACGCUCAGGUGCGAAAGCGUGGGGAGCAAGGAGG